rnacentral:rRNA from 1 species
UGAGGAAUCUUGCACAAUGGGCGAAAGCCUGAUGCAGCGACGCCGCGUGGAGGAUGAAGGCCUUAGGAUUGUAAACUUCUGUUAAGUGGGAAGAAAUGUUUCGCUAUAAUACAGCGAAAAAAUGACGGUACCAUUAGAGAAAGCACCGGCUAACUACGUGCCAGCAGCCGCGGUAAUACGUAGGGUGCGAGCGUUAAUCGGAAUUACUGGGCGUAAAGCGUGCGCAGGCGGUUAUACAAGACAGGCGUGAAAUCCCCGGGCUUAACCUGGGAAUGGCGCCUGUGACUGUAUAGCUAGAGUGUGUCAGAGGGAGGUAGAAUUCCACGUGCAGCAGUGAAAUGCGUAGAUAUGUGGAGGAAUACCAAUGGCGAAGGCAGCCCCCUGGGAUAACACUGACGCUCAUGCACGAAAGCGUGGGGAGCGAACAGG